rnacentral:rRNA from 1 species
UACGGGGGGAGCAAGCGUUGUUCGGAUUUACUGGCGUAAAGGGCGCGUAGGCGGCCAGCGCAAGUCAGUUGUGAAAUCUCCGGGCUUAACUCGGAACGGUCAACUGAUACUGCGCGGCUAGAGUGCAGAAGGGGCAACUGGAAUUCUCGGUGUAGCGGUGAAAUGCGUAGAUAUCGAGAGGAACACCUGCGGCGAAGGCGGGUUGCUGGGCUGACACUGACGCUGAUGCGCGAAAGCCAGGGGAGGCG